CCUACGGGCGACCGCAGUGAGGAAUAUUGGUCCAUGGGCGGAAGCCUGAACCAGCCAAGUAGCGUGCAGGAUGACGGCCCUACGGGUUGUAAACUGCUUUUAUACGGGAAUAACGCGCCUUACGUUUAGGGCUUUGCAUGUACCGUAUGAAUAAGGACCGGCUAAUUCCGUGCCCGCAGCCGCGGUAAUACGGCAGGUCCGGGCGUUAUCCGGAUUUAUUGGGUUUAAAGGGAGCGUAGGCCGCAUGUCCAGCGUGCUGUGAAAUGUUCGGGCUCAACCCGGGCCUUGCAGCGCGAACUGGCGUGCUUGAGUCCGCGGAAAGCAGGCGGAAUUCGUCGUGUAGCGGGGAAAUGCUUAGAUAUGACGAAGAACCCCGAUUGCGAAGGCAGCUUGCUGCAGCGGAACUGAUGCUGAUGCUCGAAAGCGCGGGUAUCGAACAGGAUUAGAUACCCUUGUAGUC
rnacentral:rRNA from 1 species